rnacentral:lncRNA from 12 species
CACAACCACAAAGCAUAUAUAUAUGAAGCCACGUAUACUUAUAUACAUUAAUUUUCACAUUGUUUUGUCGAGGCUAUGAGUUUUCACAAGUUAGCAAGCACUGGUGGUGGUGAUAUAAAGAAAGUGACUGGGGGGCAGCAGUGAUUGGAAGUAGGAGCAUGAUUUUUGUUAUUUCCCUGGAACUAGAGUUGUAUCCAGAGUCUGUGACUGAGCAGAACAAAAGCACUGGCAAAAUGUGUUUCCGGAUGAUUUCUGAACAUGACCAUGACCGCCAACAUUCACUUGGCACUGUGUGAUGUCACAGUACAGAUGUUGCCACCCAGUGGGCAAAUAGGUCUUCUGAUAAGAGGGGAGGGGUUACAGUCAGAUUUCUAGGUUGGGAAGGUCCUUCCCUGUGGAGAUUUCCUAGCAUUUGGCAAGAUGAGACUCUCCCUUCAAAUAUAGAAGUAUUCCUGGCAGCAAUCCUCAGUGUGGGCUGCUCUGAGCAGCAGAGGAUGUUGUCAUGCGAGAAACAGAGAGCACAAGUCUCAGUUGAAAGUCUCCUGGAACUUUGAGAUUGGGCCAAGAUGCAUUUGCCAGUCAAAUUUGAGACCGUAGGACUAUGUUGUGUGAGGUACAGCACACAGGAAGCCUCUGUUCCUGCUACUGGCUUUGCUCUGGAGGCAAUCAGCUCCCCACUCUCGGCUCAAGUGGUGCUGGCCUGCACUGCAUCCAGGAGUUGUUACCAGUCCUUCUGGUUACGAGUUUUGCUUCUCUUCAAGUGGAUGUUGAAUAUAGGACAGAAUCUAUGCAAACUUAGGAGUGGACAAACAGGAAAGAAAAUGCCGAGGACUCUUAAACCUAUGGGGAAAAGCCCAAUCCACCUUACUCAUAACCGAAAUAUGAAUUUCCAAGGACGUGCAAAGUUGAAGCUUCAAAGACUAAACACGAAACAGUAAAUGCCAGCUCUUCCCACAUUCGGAAGCAAGGUGUGUAACCAAAAGAGUAGAACUUACAAAGAAGACUAAUGAAGACAGGUUUUGUGACCUUCAGCUCUUCAUUAACCUGGAGAACUUAACACAUGACUACUAGAAGAGGGGAAGAUUCUCCAGAGAGAAAUGUUGGCGAUCCCUGCACUCUUAUCUUACCCUCCCAAUGAAAAGGAUGGACAGACAUGCUUGUAUGUCAUGUUGUAGCAACUGAGAGAGAGUUUGAAAGAACCUACUCCCAGAACUUGAUGUGGGCCACUGGGAGUUUAAGAAACAAAAUCUGGGCAGCCUGGGUGGCUCAGCGGUUUGGCGCUGCCUUCAGCCCAAGGUGAGAUCCUGGAGUCCCAGGAUCAAGUCCCACAUCGGGCUCCCUGCAUGGAACCUGCUUUUCCCUGCCUGUAUCUCUGUCUCUGUCUCUCUCUCUCUGUCUCUCAUGAAUAAAUAAAUAAAAUCUUUUUUAAAAAAAGAGAGA